AUGCUGAUGGUUAUUCUUUUUGGUUUUGGUUUUGGUUUUUGCAAGUUUUCCGGUGGUAUUGCUAAUCUUUCUGCUGCUGUGAUGCUGAUGGUUUUUCUGUUUGGACUUCUUUCUCUCUCUCUCUUUUUUUUUUGCAAAUUUUCCGGUGCUGCUCCUAGUCUUCCUCUUUCUGCUGCCGUUGCUCGGUUUUGCCAGCGAGUGCGUCUUCAGCUCUGGUUUACGGUCUUCGUAGAAUACGUCUUCAGGAGGAGGCGACGGUUUAGAGAUCACAGGAGGCGUCCAGAUGCUGGGUCGUCUCGCUGGUGCUGGGUCCCACAUCUUCUCUUCCACACAGCACAGGCGCUACAGCCCAAACGAGAAGACGGCCAAGAGAAGACACCAUCGGCGCACGAGACUUGCGGCGCCCACCAACCUCGACGCGCCGGAACCCUAGCCAGCCGCCCAUGGGUAUCGCCGGAGGGCGGCGCCAGUAGCGGGAAACGGGAGGAGGAGGAGGAGGAGAGCGGAAGCGGAACCCGCGCGCGCGGUGUAGAUUAG
rnacentral:rRNA from 1 species